CACUCCUGCGGGAGGCAGCAGUGGGGAAUUUUGGACAAUGGGCGAAAGCCUGAUCCAGAAAUGCCGCGUGUGUGAAGAAGGCCUCCGGGUUGUAAAGCACUUUUGUCCGGAAAGAAAUCCUUGGCUCUAAUACAGUCGGGGGAUGACGGUACCGGAAGAAUAAGCACCGGCUAACUACGUGCCAGCAGCCGCGGUAAUACGUAGGGUGCGAGCGUUAAUCGGAAUUACUGGGCGUAAAGCGUGCGCAGGCGGUUUGCUAAGACCGAUGUGAAAUCCCCGGGCUCAACCUGGGAACUGCAUUGGUGACUGGCAGGCUAGAGUAUGGCAGAGGGGGGUAGAAUUCCACGUGUAGCAGUGAAAUGCGUAGAGAUGUGGAGGAAUACCGAUGGCGAAGGCAGCCCCCUGGGCCAAUACUGACGCUCAUGCGCGAAAGCGUGGGGAGCAAACAGGAUUAGAAACCCCAGUAGUCCCA
rnacentral:rRNA from 1 species